CUGACGACCGGAUCGAUGAAGUUAGAGAGGAAUGUGUAGUAACCAAGCAUCACAAAAUGGCCUGACCAAUUGAGGAUGACUCCAAGUCCAACCUACAGCAAAGGAGGGGGAAAACAAAUGAAAUCUUAUGACCAGUGCAGGCUGUUCCUACAUGUGCAAGGCCAUGCCUCGCUUUAAGUACCCAACUAUGUGGAGUGAACCACACACUUGAAUCUAUUCGAGUGUUGGACCCAAUUUGAUAUUUUUAUCUUAUACCGCAAAAUAUUGCCAUCAACUUUUCAUAUUUUUCUGUUUUGGUUCAAAUGUUCAAAUAGAUUUUUCGACUUUGUGGAUACAUGUUCUAUUCCUUGUCGUGCUCUACAGUGCAGGCUAUUCCUACAUGUGCAAUGCUAUGCUUCGCUUCAACUAAGGAGCCGAAAACCCCGCAAAAAAAAAGGAGCUGUAAUCAAUUGACCA